rnacentral:lncRNA from 1 species
UGGGCGUGCGAACGAGAGAAGGAACCAAGGGAACCAAAACCCUAAACAACCUAAAAUCAUCAAAUUGAAAGGGGAAUCGAGGGCUGAUCGAAUGCAUGAGUCUAGAUACCCUUUAAUCUAAGUGUAUUGAUCAUAAGGAACGUGUCAAGGAGAGCUCAAGCAUAGGAGGAUAACGGGUCAAGAUAAGGCAAGGUGACAAAUACACUUAUUGGAAUACUCAAGGUGAUGAAUGUCGGACUUUCGAAGUGUUGAUAUAAUAAUGAAACGGUUGAAUGUUGAAAGGAUAAUCGGACUGAAGUAACUUAUGCGGUAAAUCCUCAAUUUUGGCGACUUGGAGAAUCGGAGCGAGCGCGUGUUCGUGUUAUGCGAUACCAAACGCUUCCGCUAGUUUGUUCAAAUGUUUUUGACCCAAAAUUUGUUGUAUUGGUUUUUAGUAGUAUCUUGUUGAACGAAUUGUAGAAUUGUAUCUAGUUUGUUUAUGUUUAAAACAGGGGUAUGCUCGUUUUAUGGACGGGUCAUGCCCGAUUUUUUGUUAAAUUAUAGUUUGAUAAUAUCACAUUUAGGA